CGUAUUUAUGCAAAAUGGAACCACUCGACAAAUUUGCUUUUUUCCGUUUCUUGAAGAAUACUCAUUUAAAAGUGGUCUAAAUUCUUAUACAAACAAGAACCAUAUGAAUUUUACCUUGGAAACAAGGUAUACUAAAAGCAGAAAGGAACCACCAGCAACAACGAAUAAUACAUAUGAAGCAAAACCGAACCACAGCACCACGGGACUGCUUUGUUCAUACAAAUAAACGAUAUUACUAUCAUGUCAUUAUAUACAAAACAGAUCCGCAGAUACUUGGUACCAUUAUACAUUACACAUAUUUCUAUUAAUAACAAUUAUUUUUAAUACACAAAAUGGAACCAGGUUUCUAUGGUAUGGUUAUGCGUAAAAUAAAUUCAUAAUUUAAUUGUAAUUUUUUAUUGCAAAAUAAAACCACAAGCAUUCGGUUCUAUCAUGCAUAAAUAAAUAUUGUAAAACAUCCAGAAACCCAUCAUCGCUAUACGGAACCAAAUGCCUUGACUUGUGCACAAUGCAGAAUGCUUCUCAUCUUUAAACAACGUAUUUCAUUACGUCUUAUAUAGCUCAAAGUGCAAAACUCCAAUUUUUAAAGUAAAACGUCGAACAUCUGUCAAUAUAGGUGACAUUCAGCGAAGUAUUUCGAAUACGUGACGGCCGUUUUUUUUCUCCGCGAAGUAAGUUCUAUUGUUUUUGUUAAUUACCUUUAAAAUUAAAUGUGAAAAUGUUUAGUAAUAAAUAAAUAAGGAAGCAAUUGGUAAGAAAAGCAUUGGAGACGAACACCGAAGAUAAUAAUGAAGAUACAACGGAAGAUAACGAAGAACCUUAUACGUCGAUGCCUCUGGAGAAGCUUUCUUCACCUUCAAGCGAUAUUCAGGCCAUAUUACAUCUCAUUCCACAAUAUGCACAGAGUUUUUAUAACAAUCUUAUUAGUGAUGAUGCAAUAGAAGACCACAUAGAUGGACUAGACAAGGUGGAUUUCGAAAUCCAAUUUGAUGAUAACGUCGAAUAAACGUCCUCUAUAUGUAUUAUUUUAUAUAUCUUUUUAAUAAAAGCUUUAUUACGAUAUUAUAAA